rnacentral:tRNA from 1 species
GCGCUCGUAGCUCAGUAGGAUAGAGCGAUUGCCUCCUAAGCAGUAGGCCGCUGGUUCGAUUCCUGCCGGGCGCACCA